rnacentral:rRNA from 1 species
CCCUUAGACGUUCUGGGCCGCACGCGCGCUACACUGACCAGUGCAACAAGCAUCCGUCCUUGGCCGACAGGCCCGGGCAAUCUUUGAACGCUGGUCGUGAUGGGGAUAGACUUUUGCAAUUUUUGGUCUUCAACGAGGAAUUCCUAGUAAACGCAAGUCAUCAGCUUGCAUUGAUUACGUCCCUGCCCUUUGUACACACCGCCCGUCGCACCUACCGAUUGAAUGGUCCGGUGAAAUCUCGGGACGGCGGCUUGGUCGCUUGCGUCCGACUGCUGAAACUUGAUUAAACCAUAUCAUUUAGAGGAAGGUGAANUCGUANCA